UGAUCAUGGCUCAGAAUCAACGCUGGCGGCGUGCCUCAGACAUGCAAGUCGAACGAUUAAAGCUCUCUUCGGAGAGUGCAUAGAGUGGCGCACGGGUGAGUAACACGUAAGUAAUCUACCUUCGAGUGGGGAAUAACGUCCGGAAACGGGCGCUAAUACCGCAUAAUGCAGCGGCAUCGCAAGAUGACAGUUGUUAAAGGAGCAAUCCGCUUGAAGAGGAGCUUGCGGCAGAUUAGCUAGUUGGUAGGGUAAUGGCCUACCAAGGCUACGAUCUGUAACCGGUCUUAGAGGACGGUCGGUCACACUGACACUGAAUAACGGGUCAGACUCCUACGGGAGGCAGCAGUCGGGAAUUUUGGGCAAUGGGGGAAACCCUGACCCAGCAACGCCGCGUGAAGGAUGAAGUAUUUCGGUAUGUAAACUUCGAAAGAAUAGGAAGAAUUAAUGACGGUACUAUUUAUAAGGUCCGGCUAACUACGUGCCAGCAGCCGCGGUAAUACGUAGGGACCAAGCGUUGUUCGGAUUUACUGGGCGUAAAGGGCGCGUAGGCGGCAUGGCAAGUCACUUGUGAAAUCUCCGGGCUUAACUCGGAACGGCCAAGUGAUACUGCUGAGCUAGAGUGCAGAAGGGGCAAUCGGAAUUCUUGGUGUAGCGGUGAAAUGCGUAGAUAUCAAGAGGAACACCUGAGGUGAAGACGGGUUGCUGGGCUGACACUGACGCUGAGGCGCGAAAGCUAGGGGAGCAAACGGGAUUAGAUACCCCGGUAGUCCUAGCCCUAAACGAUGAAUACUUGGUGUCUGGAGGUUUAAUACUCCGGGUGCCGUCGCUAACGUUUUUAGUAUUCCGCCUGGGGAGUACGUACGCAAGUAUGAAACUCAAAUGAAUUGACGG
rnacentral:rRNA from 1 species